GGACUGUGUUUUGCGUUUAGUUUUACGAAGUGUUAACACGUAGUUGAACAUAUGCCUGCCUUGCUUUUAACGCCGAAGUAAAUUUUUUCAAAGCUUUUAACCUUUCUACUUACUUCAUAUUUGAGAAGCAACACUACGAUGUUUUUAUGAAAACAGCGAAAUCAUAUGGUUAACAUUGCAAGCACAACGUAUAUGAUUUUCCAGUUGUCAUUUAACUUUUCAUUAAAAAUAGGAAAAUUUAAAUCAAUAUAUAUUGCUAUCUAUUCGAGCAAAAAAAUUUGUUCGUUUAGUAUUCGUAUUUUGCUUCAAAAAGACAUUUAUCAAAAAAUUCUUCGUUAAUAAACGGUGCACUUCAUUAACAUGUAUGUAAAUAAAUGCUAGCCAUAUGAUGUUUCUUUAUCAAGGCAGGGCUCAUCUCAACAAAUUGUUUUUAUAAGCUUAUGUUGCCAUUGGCAUGGUAUGCAUAAGUCAACACUUUAACGAAAGUUGUCACCAAAGAAUAUGUUGCCACCAGCGCUGCGAUUGCAGUAGGAAUCCGAUGUGACGUUAGCAUUUCUAUCAGCUGAUACAGUUAAGCAAAUAAGAAAGCAGAAAAUAACGGAAGUUGUAAAUUUGGUAAAAUAAAGGUUUACUUGUAAAGGAUGAACACGUUUCCGAUUACCAAAGCAUGAACACUAAAUAAUAUCUUUUAGGACAUAAACAGAAAAUUAAAAGCAAAAACUUUAUUCAUAAUUGGCGCUUAGCGGAAAGGACUGAACCCUAGCAACAUUAGAGUUACCAGUAGCAUGAAGUGAAUUGUUUUGGAAAUAUAAGUCAUGGAAAGCUGUUUGUUUUUCUGAAUAAUAUGUCUUUACCAUUACGGACGUACAGAGGUGCUUUUCGUGUGUUUAUUAGGGCUUCCAAUAUUUGAAAAAUCGAAACUUGUCGUCUUUGCUUCACUGGUUUGAACAAAAUGGAAGCAGAAAUAGUUUUAUGAAUUCAGAAAAUCUGGAGAGACAUUUACUAAAUCUACACAUGUGCGUUAAAAAAAAAGAGGUAAAUGAUGAUUACAAAGCAAAUCUUGCAAUUAGUAGAUGCUGUAAUUUGUGUAACGUUACGCAUGCUGCUUACAAAGUUUUCGUAAAAAGUGGUGAUAAUUCAGACACUAUCAGACACUUGCGAUAAUUAGAAAUAAAGUAAAGGGCUGUCGCCUUUCAAUACCAUGUUACUCAACCAAAGUUGAGCACCUUAAAACAGAGUUAUCACACAGUUCUCCAAUUUUAAGAUAAAGUUGAAAUGAAACUUUCAUUGUUAAUACACAAAACGGGAAUGGCAUACGAUUUGGUGUAGUAACAACGUCAAUUAAUGAAAAAUAUCGGCAAUAUGCCCUUCGGGUGACCAUUUCUAGUUUAAGGAAAUUAUUGUGGGACAUUCUUUUUUAUCUCCUCCGUCUGAUUAUACGAUGACUUCAGUUUUGGCUCAGAAAACUGGGGCAUAUCAUAAAAGCAGUAUCUUUGAACCGAUUAUUACCAGUAAAAAUGGAGACAGCUAAAGAUUUACGAAAUCGAUUAGAAGAGAUCAGGCCAAUCUGCCGAAAGAUUGUGGUAAUAAAGGACCCUAUCGGCAAGAUAACCCUUAUUACGCUAAAAUCAAGGACAAAAUAAUAUGCAUGGUUAAACCGAAUUUAUGGACAUUCAGCCAUUAAUUUUUUAUUUUAAACAUCCAAUCAACUCACAUAAUGGUGGAAAUAUGAAUUAGCCCCAGAAACAACAAGUUGAAAGGCGGAAAACAGCCGUUAGAAAUAGAAACUCGGAAUUUGAAAAAAUAAAUAACAUUUUUCAAAAAAAUUCCUUUCAAAGUUAACAAGUAAUGAACCAGUAUCACGGUGCAACUGAAGCUAAGUCACAAAAUGUAGCGAACAAAACCAACCAGCAUAAGUAAUAUUAUAGUUUUUUAGAGUAAACUCUCUUUUACUCUUCACAAAUAGAACCGUACCAGAGUGAUAUAUUAGACAUAUAAUUGAUAUAGGAGCUUAAAAAAAGUGCAUUAACCCGUUUUGAGAAUUAACAGCAAUAACGCCUGUAAGGUAUUAUGUUCAAAGUCCAGUCCAUCCACUGUCAGAAUAAAGUAAAGAAUAACAAUUCUGUCUGGAGAGACCGCACCAUAAUUGACAUUCAAGUCCUUAUGAACUUUUGAUUGAGUAGGAAAUUUUCAAUGGCACAUUUAUCUAUUCAAACUUGUGCCCAUACCCGAUGAGUGUAGCGAAGUUUGUUAAUUCUGAAAUGAAACAACUCUCUUCAAAUAGAAUUAUUCGGCCAUCUAAGGCACCCUACAAUAGCCUCGUCUGGAUUAUUGAAAGAAAAGGUAUCAAUGAUGUAGAAAAAUGAGUAGGCGAUUGUUUUUUUGAUUUUUUUUUUUUUUUGUCAAUUGAGGCAGUUCUGAUUUGAGUCGGUAGUGAUUAGUCACAAAAGUUUGAAAAAAAAAGAAGAAAAAAAGAAAAUUUUUGACAUUUACAAAUUGGGAAUAAAAAUCCUAUACAUUGCUAUUUAUAAAUUUUUGCUUAAAAAGACUUUCAAACUAAUUCUUAUCAAUUAAUAAUAAAAAAAAAAAAAAAAAUUGAAAAAUUUGUUGAAAUCGUUACGGAUAUGUUUUAAACUGUUGAGACAGGGCCUGCGGAUACCACAAAUUCCUAACGAGUGGAAGUCCUAAAGAACAACGAAAAAUACUAAAGCCUUCUGUAUCUUCUAUCGAAUUUGAAAAACGUUACGGAUACGUUUGAAACUGUUGAGAGAGGAGGGCCUGCGGAUACCAUAAGUUCCUGCACGACUUCGUGGAUCUGCGCAGAAGAACUCAAGAAUUGCAAAGAUUUAGUGAUUUUUUCCAGAAAGAGUCAAAGCCAUAAAGAUCAACGAAAAAUCUUAAAGUCUUCUGUAUCUCCUACCGCAUUUGAAAAAAAGACUCUCAAUAGGGUGCAACACAUGUUCAAGUCGUUCAAAAUGAUUGGUCACAUCGCACACAAUGAUUGUUAGUUAAAAAGUCAUUGUUCAGUUUUUUUUUUCACGAAUGUACAUUCGGCGAGGUUUAAAAUAGAUGGGAUUGUGAUUACUGAAAUAGAUCGCCUUGAGCAAGUUUGAUCUAAAUGCCAUUGGUUCCUGCUUCUUAUUUUAGUUUUGCCGGAUCGCCAAUUUUGGAGGUAUAAUAAGUAUCGCAAAACCAUACUACACCAACCAUUUGCAAAAGUAUGAUAGUAUUUGUGGCAAGCCGCUACAUUUGUGAUCGUGCGAUUUUGAAUAACGGCAUGCCGUCAUUAUCACAUUUUUGCAAAAGCAGCGGACUGACACCCUACCCAACAUUUGUUCGCGGACGUUACAAAAUAUAAACUUGCUAACUGAGCUCCCGAAGAGAAGGCGUAUUAUUUUAUUAGCCAGUUUACUGCAUAAGUCGCAGAAAUGCAAAUGCCAAUGCAAAUGCAAAUUCGAAGCAGAAUAUAAACCCUUAAGGUCGAACAAAUAUAACGCGUACUCAGACAAGCUUUACACAUUUGCGUCAUUGGUUGGUUCAACAAAUGAAAGGUGUGGUUGUGGGAAAGUUGAAAACUGAAGUUUGGAUUUUGAUACUUGAGAUUCAAUCAUAUUAUCAAAAGUUCCUUUGUUUACUAUAGUAGCAGUGAUGAAUUAUCAUCAAAGCACGCAUCACCGCAGUGUUUCCUGGCUGCAUCUGGGUAGCAAUGUUGGUGUAUCGGUGGGCGAACAACACGAAACGUCUGUACAAGUACAGACCGAGAUGUCAAUGGAUUAUUUAUUACUGCUUUCGACACUGUGUAAUACAAAAAAAAAAUUCAAAAUAAAAAACAAUUAAUUCAAAAGUAAAUACA